GAAUGAUUAGUUUCGCCACAUACAAACCUUAAUUAAUAUAAUACAUCCUUAAACAUCCUUUUGAAGGGGAGAGACACUACUUUGGAGUCACACAAGACUUUGGAUAGGCAAGAACAUGCUUGUCGCAAGGAAAAGGAUUCAAUUCGUGUUUCCUUUCUUAUUUCUUCCUAUUUCCCAAUUUUAUGAGCCUUUUAUUUUUACAAACUAGCAUAAAUACCUAAACUUCUAAUCUAGAGUUGUGAUUGAACCUCUUGGAGGAUGAAUUUUUUAUACGUUUAAUAUAAUUGAGCCUUUUUAUUUCUCUACUUGUCAACUACGUACUUAUUUCAAUUGAUUAAAUGGCCAUCAAUUGUACAUAUUCAUUAUAUGUUACUCAAAAAAGAAUAUGUAUUCAGGUGGUUGUCGAACAACGUCACUCCUAAGGUAUAUGAGAGAUCAAUACAGAGUGUUUAAAAGUGGGAUUAGAGAUAACGAAACUUUGACGUGGUCAUAGUGAACAGUGAGAAAGUGUGAGUUAGUGUAAUUCCAAAGAAUAUGACUAGUAAAUUAUUGUAGUUGCU
rnacentral:lncRNA from 1 species